CCUACGGGAGGCUGCAGUGGGGAAUAUUGGACAAUGGGGGCAACCCUGAUCCAGCAAUUCUGUGUGCACGAAGAAGGUUUUCGGAUUGUAAAGUGCUUUCAGCAGGGAAGAAGAAAGUGACGGUACCUGCAGAAGAAGCGACGGCUAAAUACGUGCCAGCAGCCGCGGUAAUACGUAUGUCGCAAGCGUUAUCCGGAAUUAUUGGGCAUAAAGGGCAUCUAGGCGGCCAGACAAGUCUGGGGUGAAAACUUGCGGCUCAACCGCAAGCCUGCCCUGGAAACUGUCUGGCUAGAGUGCUGGAGAGGUGGACGGAACUGCACGAGUAGAGGUGAAAUUCGUAGAUAUGUGCAGGAAUGCCGAUGAUGAAGAUAGUUCACUGGACGGCAACUGACGCUGAAGUGCGAAAGCUAGGGGAGCGAACAGGAUUAGAUACCCCAGUAGUC
rnacentral:rRNA from 1 species